GGAGUUGGCUAGACAGUCGCUGCUUUACUGUUUCUUUCGGGAGCCUUUUUCGGAAGAAAGUAGUAAAGGAGAGGAAAGUCCGGGCUCCACAGGGCAGGGUGCCAGAUAACGUCUGGGAGGUGAAAGCCUACGACCAGUGCAACAGAGAGCAAACCGCCGAUGGCUCAGUUUUGUAAGAAACUGAGAUCAGGUAAGGGUGAAAGGGUGCGGUAAGAGCGCACCGCGCGGCUGGUAACAGUCCGUGGCACGGUAAACUCCACCCGGAGCAAGACCAAAUAGAGGUUCACAUGGUACGGCCCGUAUCGAACCCGGGUAGGUUGCUUGAGCCAGCGCGUAAGUUCUGGCCUAGAUGAAUGAUUGUCCACGACAGAACCCGGCUUAUCGGCCGACUCCACAG
rfam:Xenorhabdus cabanillasii JM26, WGS project CBXE01000000 data, contig: XENCA_2134_Contig_106